rnacentral:rRNA from 1 species
GAUGAACGCUGGCGGCGUGCCUAAUACAUGCAAGUCGAGCGAACAGACGAGGAGCUUGCUCCUCUGACGUUAGCGGCGGACGGGUGAGUAACACGUGGAUAACCUACCUAUAAGACUGGGAUAACUUCGGGAAACCGGAGCUAAUACCGGAUAAUAUAUUGAACCGCAUGGUUCAAUAGUGAAAGACGGUUUUGCUGUCACUUAUAGAUGGAUCCGCGCCGCAUUAGCUAGUUGGUAAGGUAACGGCUUACCAAGGCAACGAUGCGUAGCCGACCUGAGAGGGUGAUCGGCCACACUGGAACUGAGACACGGUCCAGACUCCUGCGGGAGGCAGCAGUAGGGAAUCUUACGCAAAGGGCGAGAGCCUGACGGAGCAACGCCGCGUGAGUGAUGAAGGUCUUCGGAUCGUAAAACUCUGUUAUUAGGGAAGAACAAAUGUGUAAGUAACUAUGCACGUCUUGACGGUACCUAAUCAGAAAGCCACGGCUAACUACGUG